rnacentral:rRNA from 3 species
GACGAAGGGGGCUAGCGUUGUUCGGAAUUACUGGGCGUAAAGCGCGUGUAGGCGGUUGUCCAAGUUGGAUGUGAAAGCCUUGAGCUCAACUCAAGAAAUGCAUUCAGGACUGGAUGACUAGAGGACCGGAGAGGAUAGUGGAAUUCCCAGUGUAGUGGUGAAAUACGUAGAGAUUGGGAAGAACACCAGUGGCGAAGGCGGCUAUCUGGACGGUUUCUGACGCUAAGACGCGAAAGCGUGGGGAGCAAACAGG